rnacentral:rRNA from 1 species
GAUGAACGCUGGCGGCGUGCCUAAUACAUGCAAGUCGAGCGAACAGACGAGGAGCUUGCUCCUCUGACGUUAGCGGCGGACGGGUGAGUAACACGUGGAUAACCUACCUAUAAGACUGGGAUCACUUCGGGAAACCGGAGCUAAUACCGUAUAAUAUAUUGAACCGCAUGGUUCAAUAGUGAAAGACGGUUUUGCUGUCACUUAUAGAUGGAUCCGCGCCGCAUUAGCUAGUUGGUAAGGUAACGGCUUACCAAGGCGACGAUGCGUAGCCGACGUGAGAGGGGGAUAGGCCACACUGGAACUGAGACACGGUCCAGACGCCUACGGGAGGCAGCAGAAGGGAAUGGGACGCAAUGGGCGAAAGCAUGACGGAGCAACGCCGAGUGAGUGAUGAAGGUGUUCGGAUCGUAAAAAUCUGUUAUUAGGGAAGAACAAAUGUGUAAGGAAAUAUGCACGUAGUGACGGUACCGAAUCAGAAAGCAACGGCUAACUACGUG